AAUCAACGCUGGCGGCGUGCCUCAGACAUGCAAGUCGAACGAUUAAAGCUCUCUUCGGAGAGUGCAUAGAGUGGCGCACGGGUGAGUAACACGUAAGUAAUCUACCUUCGAGUGGGGGAAUAACGUCCGGAAACGGACGCUAAUACCGCAUAAUGCAGCGGCAUCGUAAGAUGACAGUUGUUAAAGAUUUAUCGCUUGAAGAGGAGCUUGCGGCAGAUUAGCUAGUUGGUAAGGUAAUGGCUUACCAAGGCUACGAUCUGUAACCGGUCUUAGAGGACGGUCGGUCACACUGACACUGUAUAACGGGUCAGACUCCUACGGAGGCAGCAGUCGGGAAUUUUGGGCAAUGGGCGAAAGCCUGACCCAGCAACGCCGCGUGAAGGAUGAAGUAUUUCGGUAUGUAAACUUCGAAAGAAUAGGAAGAAUAAAUGACGGUACUAUUUAUAAGGUCCGGCUAACUACGUGCCAGCAGCCGCGGUAAU
rnacentral:rRNA from 1 species